AUUUGUAAAAAUGCAGUUUAAGUCCAACAAUGAUUUGACUGUCUCUACAAUGAGAGAAAACGUACUGAAACAGUUGAGAUCUGCUCUAGCUGCUAGAAGAUUGACAGAUGUGACUCUACGUUGGUCUCAAACCCCUAAACGGGUGAUCAAGAAAGUGAAUGUAGCUAAUCCAGAAUGUCAUUGAAGUAGGGAAAAUUAAUACUCUGGAAAUCAACACUGCCUUUAAUUCACUACAUUCAUAUUCAUUAAAGAUGAUUUUCAUUCUAAUUACACUGACUGAAAUUUCUUCAUGUGUUUACUAUGUGAAUACUUUUAAAGCAGAACUAUUGUAAAACUAUCUUGUGUAAUUGUGUAUUGUCAGCAAAUAAAGAUAUCAAUAAAUAUAAUUAAAA